rnacentral:rRNA from 1 species
UACGGAGGGGGCUAGCGUUGUUCGGAAUUACUGGGCGUAAAGCGCACGUAGGCGGCUUUGUAAGGUAGAGGUGAAAGCCCGGGGCUCAACUCCGGAAUUGCCUUUAAGACUGCAUCGCUAGAAUUGUGGAGAGGUAAGUGGAAUUCCGAGUGUAGAGGUGAAAUUCGUAGAUAUUCGGAAGAACCCCAGUGGCGAAGGCGGCUUACUGGACACAUAUUGACGCUGAGGUGCGAAAGCGUGGGGAGCAAACAGG